GUGCUCGCUUUGGCAGCACAUACACUAAAACAGGAAUGACACCGAGAUUAACAUGGCUCCUGUGUGAGGAUGACCCGCAAAUUCAUGAAGCGUUCCAUAUUUCU